rnacentral:rRNA from 1 species
UACGGGGGGGGCAAGCGUUGUUCGGAAUUACUGGGCGUAAAGGGCUCGUAGGCGGCCAACUAAGUCGGACGUGAAAUCCCUCGGCUUAACCGGGGAGCUGCGUCUGAUACUGGAUGGCUUGAGUUUGGGAGAGGGAUGCGGAAUUCCAGGUGUAGCGGUGAAAUGCGUAGAUAUCUGGAGGAACACCGGUGGCGAAGGCGGCAUCCUGGACCAACACUGACACUGAGGAGCGAAAGCCAGGGGAGCAAACGGG